ACGGAAGGCAGCAGUGAGGAAUAUUGGUCAAUGGACGCAAGUCUGAACCAGCCAUGCCGCGUGCAGGAAUAAGGCCCUAUGGGUCGUAAACUGCCUUUGUGGUGGAGCAAUAAGUCGUACGUGUACGGCGAUGAGAGUACAUCACGAAUAAGCAUCGGCUAACUCCGUGCCAGCAGCCGCGGUAAUACGGAGGAUGCAAGCGUUAUCCGGAUUUAUUGGGUUUAAAGGGUGCGUAGGCUGUGGUCCAAGUCAGGGGUGAAAGCCCGGAGCUCAACUCCGGAACUGCCUUUGAUACUGGAUUGCUGGAAUACGGAUGCCGUGGGAGGAAUGAGUAGUGUAGCGGUGAAAUGCAUAGAUAUUACUCAGAACACCGAUUGCGAAGGCAUCUCACGAAUCCGUCAUUGACGCUGAGGCACGAAAGCGUGGGGAUCAAACAGGAUUAGAUACCCUGGUA
rnacentral:rRNA from 1 species